rnacentral:rRNA from 1 species
AUGAUUAAGGACAUCUCGGUUAUCUCUUGGAACGUUCGCGGUCUGGGUAUACACAAAAAAUGUACUGACGUCAAAGCCGCUGUUUCUUACGCGGCGUGCUCCGUGUUGUGUUCGCAAGAAUCAAAACUCCUAGAUAUCUCUCAUUUUAAGGCUAUCUCUCUUCUACCACCCAACCUUAGAUCCUUCCAUUCCAUCCCCGCCAAUGGAUCAGUGGGAGGAAUUAUCACCGCUUGGGACGACAAUCUUCUGUCUUGCUCCAAGGUGGUAGACGGCCCCUUUUCCUUAACCUGCUGGUUUGACUCGCGGGCCAAUGAUCUCUCCUUUGCGGUUACAAAUGUGUGCGGGCCAUGCGACCAUGCCUUAAAACCCUUGUUCAUGCAGUCGCUCGUUGAUCUAAAGCCGGACAUUUCCUGCCCUUGGACGAUCAUUGGGGACUUCAACAUCACUCUAAGGUCGUCAGACAAAUCAUCCGCCAACUUCAACAUGAGCGAAGCGCAUCUCUUCUCCUCCACCAUAAACACCCUUCAGCUUCAGGACCUCCCUCUUCUUGAUCGCCGCUUCACCUGGUCAAACCAGCAGGAGGUGCCCUUGCUGACUACUGGAGCCAACGGGCAAAAAUCAAAUACUGCAUUUUUGGGGAUGAAAACUCGGCCUAUAUGCAUAUUUGUGCGUCCGCGAGACAUCGAAAGAAUCAAAUAA